rnacentral:rRNA from 1 species
GAACGCUAGCUACAGGCUUAACACAUGCAAGUCGAGGGGCAGMAUGNUCGAAGCUUGCUUUGAUUGAUGGCGACCGGCGCACGGGUGAGUAACGCGUAUCCAACCUGCCCAUGGCUAGGGAAUAGCCCGUUGAAAAGCGGAUUAAUGCCCUAUGGCGUCCUUUGAAGGCAUCUAACGAGGACUAAAGGUUUACCGGCCAUGGAUGGGGAUGCGUCCGAUUAGGUAGUUGGCGGGGUAACGGCCCACCAAGCCUUCGAUCGGUAGGGGUUCUGAGAGGAGAGGUCCCCCACAUUGGAACUGAGACACGGUCCAAACUCUACGGGAGGCAGCAGUGAGGAAUAUUGGUCAAUGGGCGGAAGCCUGAACCAGCCAAGUAGCGUGCAGGAUGACGGCCCUAUGGGUUGUAAACUGCUUUUAUGCGGGAAUAAAGAGGCUCACGUGUGGGCUGUUGCAUGUACCGCAUGAAUAAGGACCGGCUAAUUCCGUGCCAGCAGCCGCGGUAAUACGGAAGGUCCGGGCGUUAUCCGGAUUUAUUGGGUUUAAAGGGAGCGUAGGCCGGUUUUUAAGCGUGUUGUGAAAUGUGUGGGCUCAACCUAUGCACUGCAGCGCGAACUGGAGACCUUGAGUGCGCGGGARNACGGCGGAAUUCGUUGUGUAGCGGUGAAAUGCUUAGAUAUGACGAAGACCUCCGAUUGCGAAGGCAGCUGGCUGUAGCGUUACUGACGCUGAAGCUCGAAAGCGUGGGUAUCGAACAGGAUUAGAUACCCUGGUAGUCCACGCGGUAAACGAUGGAUGCUCGCUGUUUGCCUAUUAUGGUAAGCGGCCAAGCGAAAGCAUUAAGCAUCCCACCUGGGGAGUACGCCGGCAACGUKNAAACUCAAAGGAAUUGACGGGGGCCCGCACAAGCGGAGGAACAUGUGGUUUAAUUCGAUGAUACGCGAGGAACCUUACCCGGGCUUGAACUGUAGGUGAACGAUUCAGAGAUGAUGAGGUCUUCGGGACGCCUAUGGAGGUGCUGCAUGGUUGUGGUGCAGCUUGUG